ensembl:lincRNA
AUUUAACUUUUAAUUAAGAAACAAAUAUUUUAUUCUAAAGACCUAAUCCCUUUGUUUCUUUUCUUAAUGUCUCAAGCUGACUUUCUAAUGUGGCCAUAUAACUUCACUAUUUAGAAGUAAAAUAGUCACUUUAGGAGCCAGCAUUGAUGUUUAGUCUUAAAAGUUGGAUCUGCUAUUGUAACAGCAAACUGUACAUUAUCUUAAGAAAAUACUAAUUUAUCAGACCCAAGAGCCAAAGAGUUGUUCUGUGUCAGCAAUCAGCUCAGCCUCAUAAUUAUAAAUUUGAGAGGCUCUGGUAAAAACAUGGACCUAGAAGAAUUAUAGUGUUUCAUAGUGAGUCAUUCAGAAUAAAGAACCCUGUUAUUUGUCGCCAUUACAUACAGCCAUAGAAAUUUAGGGGUGGAUCAAAUCUAAGCAACUACAUAUUCUAAUCUCUUCAUUUUACAGACGAGGAAACUGAGACUUAGAACUUAUCACAGGAAACAGAGAAAGGGCUCCUCCGUGCAGCACGUCCUGUAAAUGUCUCAGCUUCUUCUUCUUGCUAAUACUUCUGCUCAAAUACGCAGCCCAGCUCAGUGUGGCAAGACAGACUUACCAUACCAGAACCCAUGUUUAUGUACUUUAUUUUGCACAUCUUUGAGAUACAUUCCUUUCUCUCCUUCCUUCCUUCGUGUAUCCAUUCACUGAAAGAUUUUCGAGUGAGCCCUGCUAUCUUCAAGGCCCUGUGCUAGACAGAGGGCUGAUAUGAAACACCAACAGGUUCUUCGGCAGUGUAUGCCCUCGAGGGUUCUUAGGAGGAAAGAUGACACCAGUGCACCAGCGAGUAGGUACAUCAGCCUCAGAAAUGCCCAGCUCCAGGCCAAGUACUGUGUACAACCAAGAACCCAACCCAAGAAAAGGGAGAGAAGCAGCAGUCUGGGGCCAUCUAGACACCGUCCUUCCCUUCUGGACAAAACCCGUUCUCCUUUCACAGCUCCUCUUAUUCUCUCAGAUUCUAGAAUGUCAGAGCUAUAAAGGCCUUAGGAUUGGACUGCAAAUUGUAGAUUAUGUCAAAUCACGUUCCAAAUUAUGGUCACUUUUAGACAGAGCUCAGUUACAGAGCAGUGCGGUUCAGAACUCUCACUCUUAUCCCCUCUGUGGGGUUUGGGCACCGUUGUUAAAGCUACACCCCUUUAUCCAGUCCUUUCAUUCCUUGGCUGUGCUCUGUUACCGAGGACACACAAGUGUACUUCCUUUGGGAUUAGACUCUUCCCCACUUGCACUUGUCCAGAGCAGGAGACAGACAAGAGGUCCUCAGGUGGAGGGUGUGCCUUGAAGUGGCGCCUCUUUGAUGGGGGAUGGUAAACUAGGAGGAGAGCAGAGACCUGUCCGUCAGAGGCCCGCAAGCUUCUACAGUGCUGGGUCGUCUUUUCUCCAGCAGAAGAGUGUCCCAGAGAGGAAGAGGCACUCGCACACAUGAGGACUGAGGCUCUCUACCUCCCUGCCCCAAGAGGGGUGUCCGGUGGCCUCACGUGAGGCCUACUUGAAAGGCGGUGGUCCUUCUCUUUCACCUCGGUGUAUCUGGUCGUUUCGCUUUACACUCCAUCUCAAGCAGAGACUGCCGUCUUUAUUUGAAUGUGGCACAGAAAUGAGAAAAAAGCGAAUCUGCCUACCCCAUCCUUCCAUAAAUUUCUCUUCCUCCUCUUUGUUUUCCAGCUUUCCAACUAUGUCAGGUAGCAUUAAAUCCUUUUUGUGUGACAAUUUUAUUUUUAUUUUAUUAUUUUAAAAAUAAAUUGUAUUUUAUCCCACUCUACCCCCUCCCCAUAAGUCCUUUCCCCUCCCUGUGGACAAAAGCUUUGUUUCCAUUUUUUUCCUUCUAUUUUCAUUUUUUUCUUGUCCCUUUCGUCCUUUCCCCCUCCUUCCUCCCUGUUCCCCUUCCCACUUGAACAUUUUCUUCCCUUUUCCCAUUUCCCAAUAUCUUUUAUGCAUUUUAGUCCUUAUUUCCAAUUUUGGUUUCUCAUGCCAGAGAAACAAUGUGGCAUUUAAACAUGUGUUUAUUUCACUUAGAAGUGUGGUGUCAGGUCCAUCCCUUUAGCUAUAAAUGUCUGAAGCUCAUCCUUCUUUAUGGCCAA